rnacentral:rRNA from 1 species
GAGUUUGAUCUUGGCUCAGAACGAACGCUGGCGGCAGGCCUAACACAUGCAAGUCGAGCGCCCUAGCAAUAGGGAGCGGCGCACGGGUGAGUAACGCGUGGGAACGUCCCCUUAGGUAAGGAAUAACGCAGGGAAACUUGUGCUAAUACCUUAUAAUAGCUCCGGCUCAAAGCUCCGGCGCCUAAGGAUCGGCCCGCGUUGGAUUAGCUAGUUGGUGAGGUAAUGGCUCACCAAGGCUACGAUCCAUAGCUGGUCUUAGAGGAUGAUCAGCCACACUGGAACUGAGACACGGUCCAGACUCCUACGGGAGGCAGCAGUGAGGAAUAUUGGACAAUGGGGGCAACCCUGAUCCAGCCAUGCCGCGUGAGUGAUGAAGGCCUUCGGUUGUAAAGCUC